rnacentral:rRNA from 1 species
GACGAACGCUGGCGGCGUGCUUAACACAUGCAAGUCGAACGGAAAGGCCCUGCUUUUGUGGGGUGCUCGAGUGGCGAACGGGUGAGUAACACGUGAGUAACCUGCCCUUGACUUUGGUAUAACUUCAGGAAACUGGGGCUAAUACCGGAUAGGAGCUCCUGCUGCAUGGUGGGGGUUGUAAAGUUUCGGCGGUUGGGGAUGGACUCGCGGCUUAUCAGCUUGUUGGUGGGGUAGUGGCUUACCAAGGCUUUGACGGGUAGCCGGCCUGAGAGGGUGACCGGCCACAUUGGGACUGAGAUACGGCCCAGACUCCUACGGGAGGCAGCAGUGGGGAAUAUUGCACAAUGGGCGGAAGCCUGAUGCAGCAACGCCGCGUGCGGGAUGACGGCCUUCGGGUUGUAAACCGCUUUCGCCUGUGACGAAGCGUGAGUGACGGUAAUGGGUAAAGAAGCACCGGCUAACUACGUG